CUACGGGAGGCAGCAGUGGGGAAUCUUGGACAAUGGGCGCAAGCCUGAUCCAGCCAUGCCGCGUGAGUGACGAAGGCCUUAGGGUCGUAAAGCUCUUUCGCCAGGGAUGAUAAUGACAGUACCUGGUAAAGAAACCCCGGCUAACUCCGUGCCAGCAGCCGCGGUAAUACGGAGGGGGUUAGCGUUGUUCGGAAUUACUGGGCGUAAAACGCACGUAGGCGGACUGGAAAGUUGGGGGUGAAAUCCCGGGGCUCAACCUCGGAACUGCCUCCAAAACUACUAGUCUAGAGUUCGAGAGAGGUGAGUGGAAUUCCGAGUGUAGAGGUGAAAUUCGUAGAUAUUCGGAGGAACACCAGUGGCGAAGGCGGCUCACUGGCUCGAUACUGACGCUGAGGUGCGAAAGUGUGGGGAGCAAACAGGAUUAGAUACCCUGGUAGUCCACACCGUAAACGAUGAAUGCCAGUCGUCAGCAAGCAUGCUUGUUGGUGACACACCUAACGGAUUAAGCAUUCCGCCUGGGGAGUACGGUCGCAAGAUUAAAACUCAAAGGAAUUGACGG
rnacentral:rRNA from 1 species